GAUGAACGCUGGCGGCGUGCCUAAUACAUGCAAGUCGAGCGAACAGACGAGGAGCUUGCUCCUCUGACGUUAGCGGCGGACGGGUGAGUAACACGUGGAUAACCUACCUAUAAGACUGGGAUAACUUCGGGAAACCGGAGCUAAUACCGGAUAAUAUAUUGAACCGCAUGGUUCAAUAGUUAAAGACGGUUUUGCUGUCACUUAUAGAUGGAUCCGCGCCGCAUUAGCUAGUUGGUAAGGUAACGGCUUACCAAGGCAACGAUGCGUAGCCGACCUGAGAGGGUGAUCAGCCACACUGGAACUGAGACACAGUCCAGACUCCUACGGGAGGCAGCAGUAGGGAAUCUUCCGCAAUGGGCGAAAGCCUGAAGGAGCAACGCCGCGUGAAUGAUGAAGGUCUUCGGAUCGUAAAACUCUGUUAUUCGGGAAGAACAAAUGUGUAAGUAACUAUGCACGUCUUGACGGUACCUAAUCAGAAAGCCACGGCUAACUACGUG
rnacentral:rRNA from 1 species